AUGGACAACAGGAAGCGCCUGGCCUAUGCCAUCAUCCAGUUCCUCCAUGGCCAGUUGCGGCACGGUGGGCUCUCGUCUGACGCCCAGGAGAGCCUAGAAGUUGCCAUCCAGUGUCUGGAGACAGCCUUCGGGGUGACGCUGGAAGACAGUGACCUUGCUCUCCCUCAGACCCUGCCAGAGAUAUUUGAAGCAGCCACUGCCAGCAAGGAGAUGCCACAGGACCGGCGGGCCCCUGACAGAACACCACCCUCUGAGGAGGACUCAGCUGAGGCAGAGCGCCUCAAAACAGAAGGUAAUGAGCAGAUGAAGCUGGAGAACUUUGAGACGGCUGUGCACCUCUACGGCAAGGCCAUUGAGCUCAACCCUGCCAAUGCUGUCUAUUUCUGUAACAGAGCUGUGGCCUACAGCAAGCUGGGGAACUAUGUGGGGGCCGUGCAGGACUGUGAGCGCGCCAUUGGCAUCGACCCUGGGUAUAGCAAGGCCUAUGGCCGCAUGGGCCUUGCCCUGUCCAGCCUGAACAAGCAUGCGGAGGCCGUGGCGUACUAUAAGAAGGCCCUGGAGCUGGACCCUGACAACGACACAUACAAGUCCAACCUCAAGAUUGCAGAGCUGAAGUUACGGGAGGCGCCGAGCCCUACGGGCGGCGUGGGCAGCUUAGACAUCGCUGGCCUGCUGAACAACCCACACUUCAUCACCAUGGCUUCAAGCUUAAUGAACAGCCCCCAGCUACAGCAGCUCAUGUCGGGCAUGAUCUCUGGAGGCCAUAACCCUCUGGGCACGCUAGGCCGCAGCAGAGUGAUCUGGCCAGCCUCAUCCAGGCGGGCCAGCAGUUUGCACAGCAGAUGCAGCAGCAGAACCCAGAGUUUGUGGAGCAGAUCCGGAGCCAGGUGGUGCGCAGCCGGACGCCCAGUGCCAGCCACGAGGAGCAGCAAGAGUGACACGCUGACCCGAGUGUCCCUUCGCUCUGCGGCUUCCUGGUGUUUUAGCAUUUUCUCCGUUGGACAGUUCGAGAGAGAAACUGGACCUGCAUGUUAAGACGGACUCAUCCCCGCCUUGUGUUUUC